ensembl:lncRNA
UUUAAGUCCUAACCCUAAGGUUGUGGGUUCGAGUCUCGGGCCGGCAAUACCACGACUGAGGUGCCCUUGAGCAAGGCACCGAACCUCGAACUGCUCCCCGGGCGCUGCAGCAUAAAUGGCUGCCCACUGCUCCGGGUGUGUGUUCACUGCUGUGUGUGUGGACUUUGGAUGGGUUAAAUGCAGAGCACGAAUUCUGAGUACGGGUCACCAUACUUGGCUGUAUGUCACGUCACUUUUUUUCACUUUUUCAGGGUCUGUGUGAUGUCUAGACUGUGUGUAGUUCCACGUCAUUCCCUGGUGAACAACAGGAGAUUCCUCUGUACAACGUCACACUCAAGCAUGGUGUAAUAUUACAUUGGCACAUUCACAAAGGAAAACAGUACACAAACACGAACAACGUAUUUUCACUUUCACUGGCUAGAAAGAAAAGGGCAUGUGCUGGCAGGAAAGACUGAAAUGAGAGUGAAGUGGGAGGCGAAAGGAGACAAUAUUGUCAUGCUAGUCUGACAAUAACUAUGAGAGUAUCAAUACAUUCAAUGAGCUUAUGGAACCGCCACUAAUCCAAAUUGUGGUGAGUUGUGAUCUCUUUGACCUGACAUAGUGCCAUUACGGUUGAUACCACGUCAUCGCCCACUUCCACUGUGAUGCAGUAGGUGUUUCACAACUAGUCCGUCUUGAAGAGCCAGGACGCUUCAGUACAGUGUGGAAAAAUAACACACUCUUCCACUACGAAAAAAAUAAAAUAAAAAAUGUCUUUGCAGCUCUCUGAAUCUUCUUCUUUAGCUUCAUGGUUAUACUUUUGGUCCAGGAAAAGUCUGACUAUGGCAUCAUCAUUAUACUUCAAACACAGGAAAGUUUCAAAUCGGGGAAAACAAGAGAUAUUUCUAAAUGGUAACUCACACUGAGGGUCAUGUCAUAGUUUUAUCAUUUAAACAGCUCUUCUGAAGAACGAGCACCUUAAAAAGCUUUAUAUCCAAAAAUUGUUUCUAUUUUUCAUCAAGAAGUGGAUGAUGGAAGCACUGUGCUCCUAGCAUGUAGUGCAGGCCUAAGAAGAGGUCUUCGAUCUUGAAGGUGUCUUUGAUGUGACUGACUUUCAACGUGACUUCGUUUCUAUUAGAGAGCAUGAAAACUCCUUGCAUCUCCUUGCACUCUUUUUUUUGCAGGGUCUGCAGGUGGAAGGAUUGAUUCCCCUGUUCCAAUGUCAGGUUGACAACUGUGUCAGUGUUGUAGCUGUUCACACAUGCCCACAGAUAGACAAUGUACGGUCCGGCACAGGACAGCUUCACCGUCUUCUCAUUGUUUAGAUCAACACUGUGGUUCCAGAGCGCCAUGAAUUUCAGCUCACCUAACUCUGUGCCU